GUACCAUUCAUAUUAGAGUGUAAUCUCUGUGAGCAGGGACCUCCUUCUCUGUAUUUCACCAUUCAUAUUAGAGUGUAAGCUCUCUGAGCAGGGACCUCUGUUUCUGUAUUUUCCAUUAAUAUUAGAAUGUAAGCUCUGUGACCAGGGACCUCCGUCUCUCUAUUUUACAAUAAUAUUUGAGUGUAAGCUCAGUGAGCAGCAACUUCCCUCUCUGUGUUGC